rnacentral:rRNA from 1 species
CCAAUAGCGUAUAUUAAAGUUGUUGCAGUUAAAAAGCUCGUAGUUGAAUUUCGGGAUCAGUACGCUGGUCGUGCCUUCGGUAUGUACUGGUGUCACUGAUUCCUCCCUUCUGACGAACCGUUAUGCCAUUUAUUUGGUGUGGCGGGGAAUCAGGACUGUUACUUUGAAAAAAUUAGAGUGUUUAAAGCAGGCUCGCGCUUGAAUACAUUAGCAUGGAAUAAUGAAAUAGGACGUUUGAUUCUAUUUUGUUGGUUUCUAGGAUCGACGUAAUGAUUAAUAGGGAUAGUUGGGGGCAUUAGUAUUCAAUUGUCAGAGGUGAAAUUCCUGGAUUUAUUGAAGACUAACUACUGCGAAAGCAUUUGCCAAGGAUGUUUUCAUUAAUCAAGAACGAAAGUUAGGGGAUCGAAGACGAUCAGAUACCGUCGUAGUCUUAACCAUAAACUAUGCCGACUAGGGAUCGGAUGAUGUUAAUUUUUUAAUGACUCAUUCGGCGCCUUACG